AUUGAACGCUGGCGGCAGGCCUAACACAUGCAAGUCGAACGAGUGGCGGACGGGUGAGUAAUGUCUGGGAAACUGCCCGAUGGAGGGGGAUAACUACUGGAAACGGUAGCUAAUACCGCAUACCAUCGGAUGUUCCCAGAUGGGAUUAGCUAGUAGGUGGGGUAACGGCUCACCUAGGCGAAGAGCCCUAGCUGGUAUGAGAGGAUGACCAGGCACAAUGGAACUGAUACACGGUCCAGAGUCCUACGGGAAGAAGCAGUGGGGAAUAUUGCACAAUGGGCGCAAGCCUGAUGCAGCCAUGCCGCGUGUAUGAAAAAGGCCUUCUGGUUGUAAAGUACUUUCAGCGAGGAGGCGUUACUCGCAGAAGAAGCACCGGCUAACUCCGUGCCAGCAGCCGCGGUAAUAC
rnacentral:rRNA from 1 species